rnacentral:rRNA from 1 species
UGAGUGCUAGGUGUUGGACAGUGCCGCAGCUAACGCAUUAAGCACUCCGCCUGGGGAGUACGACCGCAAGGUUGAAACUCAAAGGAAUUGACGGGGGCCCGCACAAGCGUGGAGCAUGUGGUUUAAUUCGAAGCUACGCGAAGAACCUUACCAGGUCUUGACAUCCAGGUGGUGCAUGGUCGUCGUCAGCUCGUGUCGUGAGAUGUUGGGUUAAGUCCCGCAACGAGCGCAACCCUUGUUACUAGUUGCCACUCUAGUGAGACUGCCGGUGACAAACCGGAGGAAGGUGGGGACGACGUCAGAUCAUCAUGCCCCUUAUGACCUGGGCUACACACGUGCUACAAUGGACGGUACAACGAGUUGCGAACUCGCGAGGGCAAGCUAAUCUCUUAAAACCGCUCUCAGUUCGGACUGCAGGCUGCAACUCGCCUGCACGAAGUCGGAAUCGCUAGUAAUCGCGGAUCAGAUGCCGCGGUGAAUACGUUCCCGGGCCUUGUACACACCGCCCGUCACACCAUGAGAGUUUGCAACACCCAAAGUCGGCGCCUAAGGUGGGGCAGAUGAUUAGGGUGAGUGUAACAAGGAACCGAGGG